CUACGGGUGGCUCCAGGCGCGAAACCUUUACAAUGCACGAGAGUGUGAUAAGGGAACCCAGAGUGCCUAACUAUGUUAGGCUUUUGCCAAGCGUAAAUAGCUUGGAGAAUAAGUGGUGGGAAAGACUGGUGCCAGCCGCCGCAGUAAUACCAGCGCCACGAGUGGGAACUACAAUUAUUGGGCCUAAAGCGUCCGUAGCCGGUUAAGUAAAUUUCUUGUGAAAUUGUUUUGCUCAACGAAACAACGUGCAGGAAAGACUGCUUGACUCGGGACUGGGAGGAGUUAGAAGUAUCUUUGGGGUAGCGGUAAAAUGCUAUAAUCCUAAAGAGACUACCUGUGGCGAAAGCGUCUAACUAGAACAGGUCCGACGGUGAGGGGCGAAAGCUAGGGGAGCAAACCGGAUUAGAUACCCGAGUAGUC
rnacentral:rRNA from 1 species